rnacentral:lncRNA from 9 species
GGGGGAGGUACAGGCCGCAUUAGGCAAAAGAGCAGCGCUUGGCCCCCACCGCGGGGGCCAGCGCACCCCUCGCGCGAGGGCGGCUCUUGCCCACACGCUGUGGCAAGUAGCACCGGCAGCUACUGCCUUGCACACUUCAGAGGGGCGGCGGCUGGGGGGUCCAGGUACCCCAAGGCCCCCCUCUCAGAUCGCUAGAGAAGGCUUUCUCACCGAGGGCGCGUCGUGCCCCCCACACCAUCGCUCGCCCCUUCGGGGACCCACGGGAGUGGGAACACUCCCAAAAAGUGGGAAGUCAGAAGGGGGGGGGUCUGCGGUAUGGGUAAAGCACACAGCCCAUGUGAGCGUCCACGGUCAGAGCCGGGAGGGCAAGAGUCUGUGCUGCCACCAGGCUUGCCUUUCAGACUUCUCCACGUGGGUGGAGGGGUGCCACGUCCGGAAAGCCAGACGGGGACCCCCCCUUCACAUCUCCCGGCCCACCGCGGUCGCUCUCACGACCACAUGCAGCCUUCCCGGUCAAGGGAGAAGCAUGGGGCGUGCCGCUCAAGGGCCAAGGGCUGCCCUCACUGGCACACAGUGAGGGAGACCCAUGACAAGGGGUCCACCUGAGCCCCUCCCGGGGAGGGGACACAAGCUUCCCCUGCCUUACCGUCUCGACCCCCUCCCCUGAGCUUUAGGAAGCUGCUCGUGGGGCACGCCACCACCACAGUGGGGACCCGAGGGGACUCACCGCUGGGAGAGGAAAACGACACCACCGCUCGGCCUCGGGCAUCUGACAGGCAACCCGGAGUACUCCAGGGGCACCACAGAGGACCAGGGGAGGCACGCUCACGCACCCGCAGGGAUGCGAAGCAUGGCAGCGAGGGAGGCCUCCCCCCCACUUUGGGGAGGGACCGCUCGCAAGGCACACGCCAAGGCGGCAAAGCGAGAAUGCCUGCUGCGUCCCAAAGGACCCAGGCCCCCCCCCCUGACUGACACCCGAAGGCAGCAGGGCGGGAGACCAGAGGUCAGGCUGGAGGCCGCACCCCUGCCUUCCCCCACACCACCCGCAGGUGGGGGAGGAGCAGCGAGGGGCCCGCGACAGAAUGAGAGGCGCGGCCCAGCUCACCAUGAGCGGCCGUCCCUCAUCUGGCGCGGCUUAAGCCCAAGCCCAGGAGAGCGCCACAUCACCACAUCGAUCAGUCCUGGCAGAGCCAGGGAAGAGCCCAGAAGAGGGGAGGGAGAACGCCUGACACGUGGCACGGAGCCAACAGGGUGGGGUUGUCCCAGCCGAGCCGCCGGGUGCCCGCAGCAGGGAGGCACACAGGGUAGAAGACCCCACAGGGCCACGCGCCCUGCCGCCCUCGGGUCAGCCAGAGACCGGAGGAGACACCGCAGCACGGGCCAGCUGGAUGCACAAGUGAGAGCCGGCGCACAGGCCCAGGCGAGCGGCCCCCACGCGGGGUGCAAAGGGCAGGGUCAGGCCUUGGACAGCAGCCGAAAGCCCAAAGCCCCCCACGUGCAUCCAGAGGCCCAAGGUCUCCAGCGACAGGCGCUGAAGAGGAUCGUGUCAGCAUCUACCUGGUGACAGAAAAGGCGUAUUUCGGCCGCGAAAAAUGUCCAUGCCCAGCAGCGGGGCCCACCCACAGGACGUGGGGGUAUCCCCGGAACCCCCAUCCGGACACUUGUCCCCCAGCCCUGCCCUAGAGUCGCCAGACCCAGCGCUCUCAGAGCCAUCUGGUCGACCCGGGGAGCGUGACCGCAGGGAAGGGACAGGGACAUGAAGGAGGUGGAGCCGGCCGGCCAGCCGGGGAAGCCCUUCCCGGCUUGCCCACGCGGGCAGGUAUCGGUCUGUCCGGAGCUCCAGACGGGGACUUGGCUCCCCCAAAAUCCAGGACACACCAUCCAGCUCAGGCCGGUCCCCACCUCCCGACCGAUCGACCGACCGACAGGGAAACACUCCGAGGGCGGGGGGCGGGAAAUGAGAGCGUGGGAAACGAAGUCUUGUCCAACGACCGGGACCCUACAUGGGCACGCCUCAGGCCCAGGUGCACCCUUCCCGGCCACACCCGGGAGCAGGGGGCCGGCGGGGUACCGUCCACCGUCUCCGGAUCCAUCAGGACUUGGAAAAAAAAAUGUUUCCACGGAGGCGCCUCCGACGAACGGACCCCGCGAAGGAAGGCGCCGGGGCCCGAGCCACCCUUUCCGCUCCACCCCUCACGUCUUGUGCCGGUCUAGACCUCGUGAGUACGACUCCGCACGGGCCGGCGGUAGCCAUCAGUCGGGGGGCAGGCGGGGAGGGGCCCAUGCCGGCAUGACGACCGGGAAACAAGCGUGCCGGCCACCGAGCCUGUCGCGCCCUCCAACGCCCUCAGCGCACAACCCGGGCCGCUCCUCACUUCGGGGAUGAGAGGCUGGAGGGACCGCAGGCGGGAGUCAUUCACGCUCCAAAGGGCGACCCGGGACAAGGCCAGGCCACCCGAGCACAGGCAGUCCCGGGCGCCGCACACCCUCUCCCCUCGCUAGGGAGGCGGCCCGGCCCAGGCCUGGUCGGUCCCCGGGGCCGGAGCGGCAAGAGCGGAUGCUGGUCGACCCGGCCAGGCGGCCCCAGAGCCUGCCUGGGGAGCGCGGUGACAGUCACUCCCUCACAGGCCUGCAGGCCCAAUCUCCGGUGAGAGAGGGACACUCCCAGGCCUCUGAGCCACCGGAGCUGUCGCCGCCAGUGUCGCCAGCCUCCCGGAACUCUGACUCAGGCCGGAUGGCUGAGUCACAUCCCUCGCGAAGGUCCCCAAAGCUGCAGAGGGAAGGGACGAUAUAAAAGCGGACACUAGAUGGCACGCGACAACCGCCACCAACGUCACCGGGACAGAUCCGGAAGGCCGGCCGGCCGGCGGCGACACAACGACACAGCGCCGGCCACCCAAAUGCCCGAGCUCUUCCCGGGGCCGAGGCGCCAGGCGUCCUGCACGACCGCGAAGCUUGCCUCGCGGAGCUGCCUCCUGGCAAGGCACUGCGUGGCGUGAUGGCAGCAGAUGGAAAGAGGGGGGCGUCGGCGGCGGCGGCGGCGGCGGCGGCGGCGGCGGCGGGGAAGGAGCUGGGAAGAGGUUCUCGCUGUUGCCUAGAAGGAGCCGCGCUCGCUCCCCCAAGCAUGUCCCUUCCUGGGCUUGGGAAUUCCAGAGAGAAGCCGGCGCGGUGAGGGUGGCACUAGCGAGAGAGAUCUCAGGUUCCCCUCCACCUUCUCUUCUCUCCCCCACCCCCACCCCACCUCCCUGCACGGAGCUGGAGGAGGGAGGGAGAGAGGGAGGGU